CACAGCAAUUUAAUUAUAUAUUUAAUAGUUACUAACUUUUAAUUAUUUAAUAUAUAUUUAUUAUUUCAUAAUAUGUAAAAAUAUUUAAUACAUAAAAUAAUUUUUAUAUAUAAUGUUGAUACCGCGCAAGGCGUGGAUCUUGACCUAGUAAGAUAACUAUAAGAAGAAAAAACUCAUUAACAUACAUUCGCAUUGUGGUCCACCGCCACAUUAUUCUAACCUCUCUCUACACGAGGUUAAAAAUCAAGCAUUGUUACUAAACUAUUCAACUUCGUCAAUAUAUAGCCCUUUCUCAAAAAAAAAUAAAAAUACUUCGUCAAUAUAAAAAACUUUCAUAUAUGGAACAAAAACAUCCAAUAAAAAACAACAACGAGUUGUCUAAGUUUAGAAUUAAAAUUUGGCAUAUAUUCCCACUAGAACACAAAGCCAGUAAAGAUUUAAUCAUUUGGUUUCUAACUUCUAAGACCAUCCUUAUCGGGGUCUCUUAAGCCCCGUAUUUAGUGUUUUUAGAUUUAAAAAAAAAAAAAAAAUUACCCAAUUUGUUUAGCAACGUUGCUUAAUUUAGGCCCAGAAGAGACGGAUCUUGUGGGAUGCAUGUGACACUCUCCUGUUUCUUUAUCUUUCUUGAAAGUCAUCUAGUCUCCUUCUUCACGAUUUAUGCACCGAGAUCCUCCAAGCUCACGGCUGGGACCUCGAACUCGCCAUUUCCUCCUUCACAUCACCAUCUGACCCUCACGAAGAUGACCCUUCGUCUUCCCGCGUCGACGGCGAUCACGAUACUGAAUUCAAAGAAGACGACCCUUCUUGCGGCGCAAUCGUUAACGACCCGAGAGCGGUCAGACCUCCGGGGAUCGCUUGGAAGAUCAUCACUUUACCGGUUUCGACCGUCUCCGGUAGCUUAGGGGUUUGGAUCAGGUCGCGGCGGCGGGUCUGAGUCAUCGUCGUCGGUUUCUUUGGCGGCAGGUGAAGCGAUGGAGUUUAUUACUUUGUUCGAUAGAGACGAUGGACUUUGGCGGCAGGGGAAGCGAUGUUAUCUCUGGUAUGUCCUAGGUAAAUUUUGAUGCUUUUGAUAGUGAUCAGAUUAGUUUAGAUGUUCAGUUGAGUGAUGUUUUCUCUUUUAUGUCUGCGGUAAAGCUUGAUGCUUUUUGAUAGUGAUCAUAUUAGAUUAGAUGUUUAAUUGAGUGGUUUUUUCUCUGUCAAUGUCUAGGGUAAAGCUUGAUGCUUUUGAUGGUUAUCUGAUUACAUUAGAGGUUGAGUCUGAAUCUAUAGUGUAAAGCUUGAUGCUCUUGAUGUAUAGUGUUUGUUUAUGUCACUGUCUUUGUUUCUUAAUCUUUCUCGUGUCUGAAUCUUUGUUGUGUUUGUCUUGUUCUUCUUAUGUUUGUUCUUGUUCUGUUUAAGUUCUUGUUAUGUUAAAAAGUUAAAAUGUUU